rnacentral:rRNA from 1 species
AGUGAACGCUGGCGGUAGACCUAACACAUGCAAGUCGAACGGCAGCACAGUAAGAGCUUGCUCUUACGGGUGGCGAGUGGCGGACGGGUGAGGAAUACAUCGGAAUCUACUUUUUCGGGGGGGAUAACGAAGGGAAACUUACGCUAAUACCGCAUACGACCUACGGGUGAAAGCAGGGGAUCUUCGGACCUUGCGCGAUUGAAUGAGCCGAUGUCGGAUUAGCUAGUUGGCGGGGUAAAGGCCCACCAAGGCGACGAUCCGUAGCUGGUCUGAGAGGAUGAUCCGCCACACUGGAACUGCGACACGGUCCAGACUCCUACGGGAGGCAGCAGUGGGGAAUAUUGGACAAUGGGCGCAAGCCUGCUCCAGCCAUACCGCGUGGGUGAAGAAGGCCUUCGGGUUGUAAAGCCCUUUUGUUGGGAAAGAAAAGCAGCAGGUUAAUACCCCGCUGUUCUGACGGUACCCAAAGAAUAAGCACCGGCUAACUUCGUG